AUGUAUCUAGUGACUUGAAACUUGAUAAGAAUGUAUUCAAGUCAAUUGUAGUUGUUGUGUUCAAAUGGGAUAAGUGAAGAUCCACGAGCAACUUGAGAUCCGAGAAGAUGCUAAAGUUUAUUGAGCCUUGGGUGUUGAAAUGAGAAAGGUCAAGUGUGUAAAGGUUGACUAGUUUGGAAAUGGAUUUGUGGAUUGACCCU